GGUCCGCUGGCGUAAUGGCAGCGCGUCUGACUACGACUGAAUACUAUAUACAUCAACAUCAGGAGGUUCCAGGUUCGACCCCUGGGCGGAUCA